CAGCGCCACGAGUGGUGACCACGUUUAUUGGGCCUAAAGCGUCCGUAGCCGGUUUGGUAAAUCUUCUGUGAAAUUGUGCGGCUUAACCGUACAACGUGCAAGAGACACUGCCAGACUUGAGACCGGGAGGAGUCAGAAGUAUUCCAGGGGGAGCGGCAAAAUGUUAUAAUCCCUGGAGGACUACCUGUGGCGAAGGCGUCUGACCAGAACGGAUCUGACGGUGAGGGACGAAAGCCAGGGGAGCGAACCGGAUUAGAUACCCGAGUAGUCC
rnacentral:rRNA from 1 species